AUAAACUUGAACAUUCUGACUUUAAAAACAUGACCAGGCUAGCCCAGGAGAAAGAUGGAGCACAUAUGGAGCAGAGCUGUCCCAGCCAAACUGCUCUUGAGAGCCCAGCUUAGAGCAUCCAACUCCCAGCUAACACCCAGAAGCAUGAGUGACUCCAUUUAAGGUCAAUAAAACCAUCUAGCCGAGUCCAGUGAGAUAAGCCAGC
rnacentral:lncRNA from 1 species